rnacentral:misc_RNA from 1 species
GAAAUGCGAUAAGUAGUGUGAAUUGCAGAAUUCAGUGAAUCAUCGAAUCUUUGAACGCACAUUGCGCCCCUUGGUAUUCCAUGGGGCAUGCCUGUUCGAGCGUCAUUUGUACCUUCAAGCUUUGCUUGGUGUUGGGUGUUUGUCUCGCCUCUGCGCGCAGACUCGCCUCAAAACAAUUGGCAGCCGGCGUAUUGAUUUCGGAGCGCAGUACAUCUCGCGCUUUGCACUCAUAACGACGACGUCCAAAAGGUACAUUUUUUACACUCUUGACCUCGGAUCAGGUAGGGAUACCCGCUGAACUUAAGC